GAUGAACGCUGGCGGCGUGCCUAAUACAUGCAAGUAGAACGCUGAAGGAAGGAGCUUGCUCUUUCCGGGUGAGUUGCGAACGGGUGAGUAACGCGUAGGUAACCUGCCUGGUAGCGGGGGAUAACUAUUGGAAACGAUAGCUAAUACCGCAUAACAGUAGAUGUUGCAUGAUAUCUACUUAAAAGGUGCAAUUGCACCACUACCAGAUGGACCUGCGUUGUAUUAGCUAGUUGGUGAGGUAACGGCCCACCAAGGCGACGAUACAUAGCCGACCUGAGAAGGGGAACGGGCCAACUGGGAAGUGGACACCGGCCAAGACCCUACGGGGAGGAGCAGUAGGGGAACCUCGGCAAUGGGCGGAAGGCUUAACGGGGAAAGCCGCGGGAGUGGAGAAGGUUUUCGGAACGUAAAGAUCUGGUGAAAGGGGAAAAAGAGUGGGGUAAUGGAAAGUGCACGCUGUGACGGUAUCUUACCAGAAAGGGACGGCUAACUACGUG
rnacentral:rRNA from 1 species